rfam:Gasterosteus aculeatus cont1.005635, whole genome shotgun sequence.
UUUAAAUUGUAAUAUAAGUCGCUUUGGAUAAAAGCGUCUGCUAAAUGACAUGUG